rnacentral:rRNA from 1 species
CGCUGGCGGCGUGCUUAACACAUGCAAGUCGAACGGAAAGGCCCAGCUUGCUGGGUACUCGAGUGGCGAACGGGUGAGUAACACGUGGGUGAUCUGCCCAAACUUCGGGAUAAGCCUGGGAAACUGGGUCUAAUACCGGAUAUGACCUGCUCCUGCAUGGGGGUUGGUGGAAAGCUUUUGCGGUUUGGGAUGGGCCCGCGGCCUAUCAGCUUGUUGGUGGGGUAAUGGCCUACCAAGGCGACGACGGGUAGCCGACCUGAGAGGGUGAUCGGCCACACUGGGACUGAGACACGGCCCAGACUCCUACGGGAGGCAGCAGUGGGGAAUAUUGCACAAUGGGCGCAAGCCUGAUGCAGCGACGCCGCGUGAGGGAUGACGGCCUUCGGGUUGUAAACCUCUUUCGCCAGGGACGAAGCGCAAGUGACGGUACCUGGAGAAGAAGCACCGGCCAACUACGUG